UGUAUUCACUACUGUAAGUCGCUCUGGAUAAGAGUGUCUGCUAAGUGACUAAAA
rfam:Salmo salar isolate Sally breed double haploid chromosome ssa20, whole genome shotgun sequence.